UAACACCGGCGGCCCGAGUGGUAACCGCUAUUAUUGGGUCUAAAGGGUCUGUAGCCGGCCAGGUAAGUCCCUUGGGAAAUCUGGCAGCUCAACUGUCAGGCUGCUAGGGGAUACUGUUUGGCUUGGGACCGGGAGAGGUGAGAGGUACCUUGGGGGUAGGGGUGAAAUCUUGUGAUCCUCGGGGGACCACCAGUGGCGAAGGCGUCUCACCAGAACGGGUCCGACGGUAAGGGACGAAAGCUAGGGGCACGAACCGGAUUAGAUACCCGGGUAGUCCUAGCCGUAAACGAUGCUCGCUAGGUGUCAGUCACGGUGCGACCGUGAUUGGUGCCGUAGGGAAGCCGUGAAGCGAGCCACCUGGGAAGUAUGGCCGCAAGGCUG
rnacentral:rRNA from 1 species